AUUUCCCUCUAUCAGAUCCUCUACAUCCAGAACUGCAGAGUAAACUUGAAGAAUUACGUACAAAAUUUAAACAGGUGUGCUCACAAUUGGGUAUCAAACAGGAAGCUCCAAGCAGAUCAGAGAAUAAAGGAAUAUCUUUCUGAGAAGUCUCCAUAGUAAAGUUAACAGUGAGGAAUUUAGCUUCAGGCCAAGUUAAAGGAUGCCAUUUGCUUGCCUUGAGGGAGGAGGGGUGUAACAAUUGAAGAUAAAUGAAAUGGGACAUUUUGGGACCAAAAUGGCUUCUUGAACAGAGAAAUUAUGUGACAUUUAUAUAUUUAUCUUAUUGAAAACCAAUGAAUAAAAUUAUCUUAA